rnacentral:rRNA from 1 species
UGCUGGAGGUAUCAGAAGUGCGAAUGCUGACAUAAGUAACGAUAAAGCGGGUGAAAAGCCCGCUCGCCGGAAGACCAAGGGUUCCUGUCCAACGUUAAUCGGGGCAGGGUGAGUCGACCCCUAAGGCGAGGCCGAAAGGCGUAGUCGAUGGGAAACGGGUUAAUAUUCCCGUACUUGGUGUUACUGCGAAGGGGGGACGGAGAAGGCUAUGUUGGCCGGGCGACGGUUGUCCCGGUUUAAGCGUGUAGGUGUGUGUUCCAGGUAAAUCCGGUUCACUUUAACACUGAGGCGUGAYGACGAGGCACUACGGUGCUGAAGCAACAAAUGCCCUGCUUCCAGGAAAAGCCUCUAAGCAUCAGGUAACAUCAAAUCGUACCCCAAACCGACACAGGUGGUCAGGUAGAGAAUACCAAGGCGCUUGAGAGAACUCGGGUGAAGGAACUAGGCAAAAUGGUGCCGUAACUUCGGGAGAAGGCACGCUGACAYGUAGGUGAAGUGAUUUACUCAYGGAGCUGAAGUCAGUCGAAGAUACCAGCUGGCUGCAACUGUUUAUUAAAAACACAGCACUGUGCAAACACGAAAGUGGACGUAUACGGUGUGACGCCUGCCCGGUGCCGGAAGGUUAAUUGAUGGGGUCAGCGCAAGCGAAGCUCCUGAUCGAAGCCCCGGUAAACGGCGGCCGUAACUAUAACGGUCCUAAGGUAGCGAAAUUCCUUGUCGGGUAAGUUCCGACCUGCACGAAUGGCGUAAUGAUGGCCAGGCUGUCUCCACCCGAGACUCAGUGAAAUUGAACUCGCUGUGAAGAUGCAGUGUACCCGCGGCAAGACGGAAAGACCCCGUGAACCUUUACUAUAGCUUGACACUGAACAUUGAGCCUUGAUGUGUAGGAUAGGUGGGAGGCUUUGAAGYGUGGACGCCAGUCUGCRUGGAGCCGACCUUGAAAUACCACCCUUUAAUGUUUGAUGUUCUAACGUGGAYCCGURAUCCGGGUUGCGGACAGUGUCUGGUGGGUAGUUUGACUGGGGCGGUCUCCUCCUAAAGAGUAACGGAGGAGCACGAAGGUUGGCUAAUCCUGGUCGGACAUCAGGAGGUUAGUGCAAUGGCAUAAGCCAGCUUGACUGCGAGCGUGACGGCGCGAGCAGGUGCGAAAGCAGGUCAUAGUGAUCCGGUGGUUCUGAAUGGAAGGGCCAUCGCUCAACGGAUAAAAGGUACUCCGG